rnacentral:rRNA from 1 species
UGCCAGCAGCCGCGGUAAGACGGAGGGCGCGAGCGUUGUUCGGAAUUACUGGGCGUAAAGCGCGGGCAGGCGGUCCGUUAAGUCCCCUGUGAAAUCCCGGAGCUCAACUCCGGAAUCGCAGGGGAAACUGGCAGACUGGAGACCGGUAGAGGCAAGCGGAAUUCCUGGUGUAGCGGUGGAAUGCGUAGAUAUCAGGAAGAACACCUGUGGCGAAGGCGGCUUGCUGGGCCGGUUCUGACGCUGAACCGCGAAAGCGUGGGGAGCAAACAGGAUUAGAUA